AUUGAACGCUGGCGGCAUGCCUUACACAUGCAAGUCGAACGGCAGCACGGGAGCCAUCCUGGUGGCGAGUGGCGAACGGGUGAGUAAAGUAUCGGAACGUGCCCAGUCGUGGGGGAUAACGUAGCGAAAGUUACGCUAAUACCGCAUACGAUCUAUGGAUGAAAGCGGGGGAUCGCAAGACUUCGCGCGAUUGGAGCGGCCGAUAUCAGAUUAGGUAGUUGGGGGGGUAAGGGCUCACCAAGCCGACGAUCUGGAGCUGGUGUGGGUGGACGACCAGCAACACUGGGACUGGGACACGGCCCAGACGCCUAGGGGGGGAAGAGGGGGGGAAUUUUGGACAAUGGGCGAAGGCUUGAGCCAGCCAUGCGGGGUGCGGGAUGAGGGCCUUCGGGUUGUAAACUGCUUUUGUACGGAACGAAAAGGUUUGGGCUAAUAAGCUGAGCUCAUGACGGUACCGUAAGAAUAAGCACCGGCUAACUGCGUGCCAGCAGCCGCCGUAA
rnacentral:rRNA from 1 species